rnacentral:misc_RNA from 1 species
AACGCAACUUGCGCCCCUUGGUAUUCCGAGGGGCAUGCCUGUUUGAGUGUCAUUAAAUUCUCAACCUUACUAGCUUUGUUGUUAGUCUGGCUUGGAUAUGGAGGUUUAUGCAGGCUUUUAUUAGUCGGCUCCUCUUAAAUGCAUUAGUGGUACCUCUGUGGUUCAAACUGCUAUUGGUGUGAUAAUUAUCUACGCCAUUGGUAGUCCCACAAUUUAAAGGAGGUUACGCUGCUAUCUAACCGUCCUAAGUUUCUGGACAAUACAUGACAAUCUUGACCUCAAAUCAGGUAGGACUACCCGCUGAACUUAA